CUCGACUUAAUGGAACGUGUUUGGCCAGCCGGCGGAGCUGGUGCAAUCUCGGACGCGAUUCUACCCCGAAAUUAAGCACGCGAUUCCACGCCCUUUCCACGUCCAUAGAAAGCUGUCCCGCGAUGACGGUCCCGCGGUUGACCACCCGGUAUCGCGUGCGUAUCACGAGCGUGAUCGUGAGCACGUUGUGCUUGGAUGGGACGGCAAGGGAGGGAAAGGAGGAGCGAGAGAUUGCACGACCCAUGUGCGCUCGUUCUCUCGGGGGGUGGCGGCCCUUCUCAAAGGGACAGAAAUUCAUCCACCGUCGACGCGCGAUACGCUUCGCAGCAGUUGUUCCCCGGAGCGGUUCCUCUUUACGUUAACGCGAAAACGCGCUCCUCGUUCCUCGUGUACUUUGUGUCGAUGCCGCGGCAAUGCGGUAUAACGUUGCUUGCGAAAUCGCUCUCUCCCGCCGGGCACUUUUUGCGUAGACACGAGCAGACGCGAAACCCUUUCCGGGGGAUUAUUGCGUGGCAGACUUUAAUGCGGGUACUCGUAUUCUCAGAUUCACGUUCAGGGAUGAAACAUGCGUAAAUACUACGUUUGAGGUAGAGACCUGGGACGCAGGCGAAACACGAAAUUGGUUCGUUAUAUACGUGCACGACGAUGUAUCUCGCGUAUUUCGCAUCUCUGACAAAAAGAAUUUACAACCACUGGCAAUUGAUUUUCACAAUUUGUCGUAUAUUUGGAGGGAAGAAAACAAUUAUUUCAAUUCAAAUUAACGAAAUAUCGAAUAUCGAACAUAAAAAUGAUUAUUCGGUGAUGAAUAUUCGGUGUUCUUCUCUUUUUCAAACCCACUGCAACUUUAUCUAAAAUUUAUCAAACGUUUAUCCAAUAUUUUCAGUUGGAGUUCAAUUAUUUGAUUACAUUGUGCUGAUGCAUGCGAGUACGUUAAGUAAAACUGGUAUGCAGCAUUUUAAUUAAACAAUUGUCUGAUACGCUUACGCCUUGCUUGCUCCUAGAUCAUGGGAGAACACGAAAACUGUUUCGUAAUUAGUGAACGCAUUGUAAUGCUCUUUGAUCUAGCAAUGAUUGAAGACAUAUCAAAUGCUCAUAUUAUAAUUUAUUAUAUUGUGCAUGCGUUUCUUACUGCCUGUUUUGAUUUCAGUGGUAUUUCGUAUCGAUAACUGCAAUAUUGCAUAUCUCGACGAAAUAUAGAGACAUAUUCAUGUACAAUGGCAUAUAUAACGUGUAAAAAUGUGGAAAUAUCACGUAAUGACGUAUCAUAAAAAUAAAGAAGGGAAAGAAGUGACGUCGCUCGCCCCUUUUUGAUGCCAGGACCUUUCCGUACCUUCGUGACACGGUGGGUUCAUAAAUCAUUGCACCUACAGAAUUUUUUCGCGAAAUACGGCACAGAAGAGCAGCGGCAAGAGAGCAACGCCAGUAGCUAAAGUAUCGAUCGAUCUUACGAGAGCCUCAGUAGAGAAACCUGGUCCCUCGCACAAAGGCGGGCAGCCAAAAGAAGAAGCGCGACGGCGUAAUUUCCACUCUCGGUACGCGAAGCCAAAGUUCGCGGGGGUUUGUUGUUACUUUUUGGCGGUCCCGCAAUUUGUUUCCCCGACUCCCGUUAACCCUGUCACCCCGGCGAAAGAGGCGAGCAAAAACUCCUUAUCUCGGCGUAAUGGCGAGAAACUUCGUGCCUCGUUAAACCGCCACGGAUGCACGCUUGCAUGCUGCACGCGCGCGCGCACGUACGGAUGAACGCACACGUUCGUUGCGAGAGUUAGUUGCGUGGCCCUUUGAUGCCGCCCACAGCAUCGGAAAAUAAACCGCGGGCACCCUGCAACGAUGCUCCGUUCAUGCCGAUCGUCCUCCGCUUUCUCGCUUAGGGUGUGCUCGAGUUAUUUAGAUUAAAAACGAGGAACUGACCUCGUUAGAUCGCAACCUUCUCUGCCGGACAUUGAACGCCCUACAUAGCGUAACUACGGGAACGACUGCGUGUUUAUAAUCUCGCGAUAAAUAAUGGAGGGAAAAUUAAUUUAAGAAACUAAAAGAAAAGUACUACGUCCUGAGUCGUGCACGAGAGUUUUUCCUUUGUUACUGUGUGUGCAUGCAUUAAAUCGAUAUUAUUUUGUUAUUUAUUGCUUUAUCAAGCUUAGAUUUGAUCCAUUCACGCCAUCGUAAAAGAUUGUCUUUUUAUUCAGCUCUUGGCACUACGCUCGUCAGGAGGAUUGGAAGUAAGAGAACAGCAUUUCUCCGUACUCUCGAACGAGCGCGUAUAAAUUAUACUGCCGUCUUAUUUAAAGACAAUACUUGCCAUGUCAUUUUCCUCCGGUCCAUUUAGCUAAAAGCCACGCGCACGAAUCUUAAUUGCGUUAAGGAUCGCAGCAUGGUACACUAAGGUCCGCAGCAUGCUACCCUAAGGUGCGCCAUUAUUACGCUUUUCUCCAUUUCCCGGGUGCGUGCUGUUCGACACGCACGUUUAGCGACAGAAAUUGCUUUGGAUGAAGCACGACGAGGCUAAAGCAUUUCGAUUCUAUUUCGAUGGCGAUUCUAUUCCCGUCAUUUUAAUUCCUGACGAUUCCCGGACUUAUUGAUUGGCGUGCUUAUUUAGCCGAUUCCGAAAAUAUCAAUUCCAAUAUUAUGUCUUGUGCGUGGUGGGAGCAGGACGACGAACUGGCAGAAUCGUCCGUCGAUCUCGCCCUGUGAGAUCCGAAACUCUCGGAUGUCACGUAAAAUCGCCGUGGAAGCGCUGUGGCGCGCUGCAAUAAUACCGAAUGACCCGGGGAAUCGAUUUUCGAUUUGUUUAUCUUGCAGUCGCAGCGUUGUAUGCACGUAUGUAUGCGCGACACGGCUGGAACACGAAGUACGCUAAGGGAUCCCUUUCCAGGAGACUGCGCGCCGGGAAAAACACUCGUCGGGUUUACGCCGUGAAAAAGCACGACGGAGCUCGUUCGCUCGCUCGCUCGUUUGGCGUCGGGAGCUUUACGAAGCUAAUCGAUGCUAACGACGCUUUAAUCGUACUCCGCCGCCGCCGUUGCCGACUCGCGUUUUACUCCGCUUCCGAAGCUGGCGCACGAGAAUUUUGGCACGAGCAAUGAGAUCCAGCUCGAAUUACCGGAUACAUCGAUCCGGCUCGCUGCUCCAAAUAACCGGGCGAAAGUAUAGUUUUUUCCUGCCCUCGUCCGCGUUCUCCUCCUGCUUCUUCCCUACACUCUCGUUCCCUUCGGUUGUUCCGCUGGCUACGAUUAAUUAAAGCGCGCGCGCGCACAGGCCAGGGUCGAAGUUCAACCGGAAUCGGACCAAAGGGGGAAGAGGGGCUGCAGUCCUGUCGCCGCUUAUCUUUUUCUCUGUUUUUUUUUUCAAUCAGGAAUAUAUUCAUCAUGCGAUAUUCCGAAUAAUUUGGCUGGCUCACGAUUUCGUUCUGUAUUUAUCGCAUAAAUAUGCAUAAAACAUGUGGACAAGUGUGACGCACGCGGUGCGAGGGUAUUACAAAAGUCGCUCGAUCGGUUUCUCGCUCACGUGAACUCGUUAUGAUUUUAUUGGGGCUUAAUUGACAUUAAUAUCUAGGCGUAUUAUCGGAUCGAAAGCGAACCGAUGAUGCAUUCACGCUCUCGUUCCGAGGAGGAUUCAGCACCGCUAUAAUUUCGAUGCGGAAUUCUGCAAGGGGUCGUUUCCAUCCCGCGCUGAUGUUUUCCAUCUUUUUCCACUUCAUUGUUCUCGUUAAGCUCGCAUAAUUGUACAUCGCGGUACCUGACUUUGUCGGUGCAUUCAGCAAUGCUAAUGACAAUAACAAUAACGAGUUUAAACAAUUCUGCAUCGCCAAGCAACGUCGUCUGUACUAGUUUCGCGAGGAUGAAAAUCUUUUUGUGCUCACGCAGCCGACGCUAUUGGCCAUGCGUAAUGAUUGGCACUCAGAAGUGCAGCAUUGCAGCUUAUUUGAUCAAAUUUCGAAAACAAUAGUCAUAUUGUUAUGUAUCCAUGGCUUUUUGUGAAUGUGUAAGAUAAAAGAUUUACACAAGACAUAACAACAUUGCUUUCUGCCUAUUGCACUAUUCUUACUUCUUAUUUUAAUUUUUUUUAUUAGAGAAAUGCUAAAUUAGUUAUUUCACAGACCUCCAUUGAUCUCAAUAUAUACAUAUGUUAGAAGCGUUUCUAAUUACUAAGGCAUGAUGAAUACAAUUAAAAGCGUUCGCGUGAAGAAUCGUGCGACGCGAAAAAAAGAGCAACAAGAAUUAUCUCCUCUAGUUUCGUAACGUUUUUAACGCAUCCCACAUUCUGAAAUUGUUCGCUGCGGCAAAGUACGGCAACUAGAUUCUCCCAAAGUGGAAGUACUCCGACAUCCCCGCACUCUCUCACUGCGGAUGCAGCAGACAUUCUGUUUAUACGCGAAAUCUCGGGGACGAUAAAGGGGCAAGUCUUCGCGUUCACACGCGGUCGAGAUUAUUCGUCGGGGCGUGUGUGCAAGGGCGAGGCACGUAAUUCAACUGAGAGUCUCUCUCGUAAACACAUCGUCCACCCCGUGGCCUGCGGAACCGCAUCGGUGUGCAGCCGCCCGUGCCUGUGGCAUAAAGCAGCGUUGUCUCUGCGAGACCGGCGCUAGCCGGUGUAAUUUUUCUCACUUUGCAAGUUGCCCCGUAAAUAAUACCGCAGAGGGAGCGCGACCUUCGCGCCCGCACACUCGAAUAACCCUCUCUCACUAUCUCCAUCUCUAUCCACCAUACAUCCACCGUAUAUUCAUCGUGCUACACCGCUCCCCCUGCUCCCUUCGCAACCCCGAAUGCAACCUUCUAUUUCACCGGCCGCCUUCUCUCGUGGUCCAGCGACAUACUCGCGGAACCGCAUCAUAAUCCCCGACACUCGUAAGUUCCAGACGACCGCGGACUCCCGUUCUACGUUACAAUUUGCCGCGAGCCGCCACGCGUGAAUCCAGCCGAUAUUUACGGUAAUGCGAUGGUCGGUCUAUCAAUCGUGAUAUUACCGGGGAAGAACCCGACGGUUGACCGUAUAACUUACGGAGGAAGGUUGAGCUAUCGAGAUCGACUACGAGUCUCUGGUCGGAGGAAGCUCCGGGGUUGUGAACAGGGUAGAUUAAAUUUUUUUUAAUAAAAUGGGUACUGGGGCGUGAAGUUGAUCUCAUCCGUUUUUGAUUUAUGGAAAAGAGGAAUGAAGGGGAUAUUGAUAUAAGAUUUGUGCGUUUAUCGUGAGAAAUUGAGCAAAUAAUCGUAUCUGAAGAUUACACAGGCGGGGCGAAUUGCAAUGUCUGUAAAACGAUGAUACCGUAAUCUAUGAUUAAAACGUUAAGUUGCUAUUAUUAUGUCUUUACAUAACGCGUGUAAAUGUCACGGGGAAUAAUUAUCCGGUCACAAGAGUGUGACGAAGUGCACGUAAUUGAGACUGAAGGCCUGCUUACAAUACACAAUUUUCAGCACGAUACGGUUGUGAUAGCAGUGCACACAAUGUGCUGCGCCAUAACAUAUUCAAUGAUACGUUGCAUAAAUCUAUUUGCUCGUAUGUGCGCAACGCUUUAUUCACAUGAUUGCUGCGCUAGUCAUGUACGAGCGGAAAUUAAAAAUUUCGUGCGAAAAUAAUAAUUCCGACGAAAACUGAUAUAUCAAGAUUAUCUGUUAUUGAUUUAAGUCGCUCUUAUCUCUUAUUGGUAUCUGUGCAGUGUAUGAUUCAUAUAUGAUUUAAAUUGAUUUUGUAUUAUCGUUCGAGGAUCAUGCAAGAAAGUUAAGAUUUGUUGCGAUGUAUUGUAACGUUUAAUCGAGCGCAUACAAAACGCAGCACUCCUCGUCUGCAAUUAAGAUAAAUCAUUUCACGCGCGCGUUCUCCCCCAAAGAUUUCCGCUGCUCACCUCACCUCGUUAUCAGAACAAGAGCAAAUAAUGGAAAUCGUCCUCAUAGGAAUCUACAUUUUUCCGCUCAAUUUCGUGACCCUUUUUUGUCGAAUAAAUUUGUACGAAUCUCGUUAUUUUUCUUCUUGCAAAUCUUUUCGCGGAGUUUCUUCAUCGAGGAGGAACACAAAGAAGAUAUGAGCAUGGCGAGCAGUCCGGAUUUAGUCAAACGCAAUUAGCUGUUUUCGUCCUGUUUGCGACGGAUUGCAUACUUCCGGAAAUCGCUAUACCGACCAGCGGUUGUGCCACUUUGAUCGUAUGCACUUGCUGCGCGAUACAUUUUUCAUAGUGCCAACAUGGGAUGAAAAAGGAUCAGGAACGGUUGUGCCCUGUGGCUGGAUUAUCCACCGCUGACGGAUGAAUGUCGACCGGUCCAGCCGGCUUGAUUGGUGUCGUCCGUGUCCGCGCGCCGAGAUUCCGCGGACGAGCAAAUAUUUUAUAAGCGCGCGGGUAAUUGACACGGCCCGGAUUCCCAUUUUCGCGGAUCCGCCGGAAUUUCGCGUCGGCUUACCGUCACUUGGGCCGCGGAUUUUACCACGCGGCGAAUUUCACCCUCUUUGAAAUCCUCGUCUUGAAUCGAAGAUACGUUACAGUUGAGGGUGCAUCUCUGCUAUGUAUUGGAAAUUGCAGUUUCUUUCCUGCGGGAAGUAUAUCUUUGAGCUUGAAAUGCAUCAUGAAAGAAUAUUAUCCGCUUUAUUUUCUUUUUCAGUUUUCUCCUUUUCUUUUCUCUUUUAUUUGUCUCCAUCAUAAUAAAUUUUCUCACUUGCUCUUUAUAUCGUUAGCUUUCUGUUUAAACAAUAUUUCUUUUAUCUUCAUUGUUUUAUUAAGUUUUAUUUCUUUAGUACAAUUCUUCGGUCAGCAAUGUGCGUUGGAAAUGUAAUUACUAAUAUUUUUACGCGAGCGAAAUUGUGUUUUUAACAUACUGCAGAACCGCAACGAUGAUAUAAUCGACCAUUAUCUGCUAACGAGAUUCUAAUUAAAAUUACAUCGCAACGGAGUACCUGUUCGGCGCGCAAUACGUCUUUCGCAUAACCAUCUUUGGCCAGCAACAGGAGCCCUAAUGCUUGCCUAGACGCGCCGCUCACGAGCUAUGCACUGCACCAUUUCCGCAGAAAUGUUGCCAUUACGUACAUCUGGCUACAUUGGAGCGGUAGCUACAUCCAGUGCCACGUCUGGAAAUUGACAUCGGGUUAAACAUAGCCACGAUAUGCUGCAGAGCCUCUCCCUCCCCCUCUCUCUCUCUCUCUCUCUCUCUCUCUCUCUCCUUCCUCAUACACGCAGUCGGAGAAACUACACCAUCUGCAUUAUAGAUCGUCGUACACGAAGUUAUUUCGCGUUAUAAAGCAUUCUCCACACAUAUUUUCAAUCGGAACGUCAUCCUCGCACGAAGAAACAAACCCGGCAAUAUUCUCGACCGGCGAUUCCAAACUGUAUCUCGCAGAAAAAAUAUGGCGGAUUAUUUUUUAUCCUUUAUUAGUGAACAAUCUGUCAACAAAACAAGCGAGAAUGAUUUUUAGAUGAAAAAUUCUUCUCUUUUUAUAAUUACAGCUCGUAUUUCGUUUUUUGAAUAUCAAUGUAAGUAAUACAUGGAACAUCAUAUUCUUCUUGACGAUUUCACAGAGGAUGCAAUCGAUUACGAUGUUCCGAUCAUCGAUCGACGCGAAGUUCAGAACGGCUUCAUUUGAUCUGAUAAUUUAGACGAACACGCGCGCGCAUCCGUGGGAUCUUUUGAAGGCAAUUCCGUGCAAAUUCACGCGUGUGUCCAACGUUCCCCGCCUCUUUCUCCGGCGGUGGCGGACGAUCGGAACGGCCGAAAGUACGUCUUCCGGCCUUGUUCCCUCGCUUUUGUUCCUGGACGACUCCGCUUUUCUUCGCGACGGAAUGGAAGACGAAGUACCGAGUGCCACGCGAAUUCCCGCCCUUCGUUCCCUGAUCUCGCUCCGGUCGGUAUCUUGGUGAUCCAGAAGGUCGUGCCGAUAGCGCCGUUGGAAGCAUUCGGAAGUGCUCGCCCCUCUGGUGAAAAGGGGUUGCAAGGGCGAAUUUCCAGGUCAAGGGACCUGGAAUCGCUAUCGUCUUAGGAACAGAGGGCUAAGGAUUACAGAUCCAACGGAUCCCCCACUGAAUCCGUAUCUUCCGCUUUAGCUUAAACUUUGAAGAUAGGAAGCUUCUGGCGUGCGAUGGGUAAUUCAGGAUGUAUUUGAGUUAUUAGUUGUAAAUUGCGCGUAAAAUCACUGCCGUGCCUAAUCUUUGCUUAGAAUGAUAAAUUAUCGCAAUCGGAAUCUCCCUCGUAUGUAGCUAUGUCCGCAAUUAUUCCAACACGAGAUUUGAAAGGAUCGUGUGAAAUUUUAUUGACAAAGUUUUCUGUUUAUUGCAAACUGUGCGGCAAACUAUCGAUUUUCCUAUAAAUCGCACAUAAAAAUAAUUAACACGUGUAAUUUCUUUCUUUUUAUUAUUUUUUGUUUUGCUAGAGAAGGGUCUAAACGAGGAUCACACCUAUGUGUAAAAGAUGUUUAUACAGUUUAUUAAAUUUCUAGGUUAAAAGCCAUCUUGAAAUGAUCUUAGGGUCUCCAGACGGUUUCGGAUUAGAUCUAAUAGAUUCACAAGAACUUGUAGCCUCCCCUCUCCCCUCUGGUUUAGGAUAUACCUAAGGAUAACUCACCGCGACAGGGAUCUCGUAUUUAGGUAAAAUCCGUAAUAGGACCGAUUAACGAAGGCCCAAUUACUGGGUCCUCGUUAUCUCCCGGGAUUGAAAUUAAUAAGCACAACGGAGAUUAAUUAAUUAAAUUCUGUCUCGUACAUGAAUCAGGCGAAAUUGUGGCAUUAGAACAUUAGAAGUGUACAUAGAAUUGUAUUUGUUCAAAAUCAUGUAAUGGAAUAUUUAAAAAAAUAUUAAGAAUAUUAAUUCAUUAAAAUUAUUGAUACAUUAAUAUCUUAAUAACUUUUUUAUUGUGAUUAUUUAUUAUAUAAACUGCGGCCGAUUGGUUAAUUAUGCAAAAUGGAAUUUAGACAGACCAACGUGGAUUUCAAGUUCCGAUUUCAUUAGUGCGCAAGAUCUGUGUACGUAGUUGCAUUGGUGAAUGUGGCGCGAGCUAAGUUUCCUGUCGACGUGUUGGUGCUACCGGAUAUGAUGUCAUCCACCACUCCUAUGCCGGGUCUUACAGGCUGUUCCUUAUGCGAGGACUGGGUGUAGAGCCAUCCUCUUGUCUCGCCAAGCAAGCUUCGAAAUCCCAUCACCAUGUUGCUAGCUCGCCUACUUCAGUUAAUAAUGCCUAGCUAUGCUAUUACGAGUGCCUUGAAGAGCUUAAGUAAUUAUAGGACUUUGUCUUUUACUUUUCUAAGUACUAAAGUAAUCAUUGUUCGACCUCUUUUCUGCAUGAUGUGAUUCUCUAAAUUAGAUGCGUGACUAUGUUAUUAAAAUGGCGCUUACGCACGAAACAAAUUCUACAAAUAUUCUUAGAAAAAAAUCUUAAGAAGUUUCUAAUUCUAAGAAAAUAUCUUAGAAAGUUGAUUCAAUGACAAUUUCAUAUAUUUUUAUGAAUUCAAAUUUAAGCAGAAUUUCAGUUCUUAGGCGCAAACUCUAAAUAAGCGAGAACAUUUUAUUCGGUGUAAAAAUAUUUAAGCUUGAUCUGCUAACGUGACAGACGUGUCAUUUAUUCAGUUCGCAGGCUUAUCGUGAUCACUUGCUUCCUCGAAGCGAAAUCGAAACGAUUAAGAUGCUCGAUUCUUUUCCGCAUUUAUCGUCGCAUCAGCGAAACCCCAGUGUCUUCGAGGAACAGCUGCGAUAAUUCACGGCCCACGAUUUAUAACGCAUAAUUCCGGGUCUCUCGCGCUCGCAUCUUUUCCCGGCGUUAUCUCGGAACGUACGGAUGCAGGAUUAAAAAGCCAGGGCGGCGAUGAAAGGGAUCUUUCCAUCGAGUUCCGCGAGAGACGACUCCUCCGGGCGCUCACUCCUUCCACACACACACACACACACAUGCACACAUACUCGUCCACCCCCGUCACACCCUUUCUUUCAAUUCUUCAACGUCACCGUCGGCCGAUAAACAUUCGAGCUCGGUUCUCCAAUCGCAUCGGGCGUAAGAAAUGGAAAGUCAUAAGUCUGCGGACGAUCGAUCGUCGCGUUUCCGCCAACGGCGCGGCCGUUAAGUCGCUGUCACGACUCGGGCUCGUUGCAGCGAACGAUCGCGCUUAACCCGGCGGACAAAUCGGCGACAUUUUUCAAGUCCUAUCCCAUCGUGCCCGUGCACCGAGUACUCGACAUCGGUAGGAGAAAAGAUUUUAUUCGGAUCGCGUGGUUAUAUCGACUUGUCGCGACUCUCAUUAACGUCUACCUAUAGAGAUUGCAGUUUGCAGGAUAUGACCGUUAUGGGGUGCAUCACGUUGCGGUAAGUCGUGCAGUUUCACUACGAGAAUCAUUUCGAACGUAUCGCGUUGUUACAGUACAUUGUUCUGUUGUAUUGCGUAUAUUGAUGAGCUAACUCGCUUUAUACAGAAUUAAAGAUGUAACAGUAAUUGAUAUAAAUUCAUCACUGACAGGAGAGAGAAAGAGAGAAAGAGAGAGAAAGGGAGAGGCGUUUUUAUGUGCUGCUGAACUGUGGCUCGGUUGCUCUUAUCCUGUUUAUCGUGAUCUGAAUUGCAGGCUUUACCUUCGUGCGAUUUAUUCAUGGCUCUUAUUGCCCGUCGACAUGCUUGGUAUAUGUGAGUAAAGCGACCGAUAAAUAAUGCCAGGAUAAAUAUCCUCGAGAAUGAAGAGAGAGAGAGAGAGAGAGAGAAGAGAGGAUCGAACCAUUAUUUAACUGAUAGAAUCUUUUGCGUGUGAUAAAAUAUCGUGUUCCAAUUUACGAAGCAAAUGACAAUUUUGCUAUAAAAACAGUGGUGUAUGAAUAAUUCAAGAAAUUCAAAUGCACCAGUGCAAAUAUUUAAUUUAAUAAACCUAUUACCUGUAGGUUUUUUCAGCUUUAUUUAGCAAAAUUUCAGAUGUAUCGAUUACGUGUGGAGUUAACAGCAGCCAUUCGUAUAAAAGAAAAUUGGAAACUGCAGAAUAUAGGCUGGUAAUAAAAAAACAGCUUUUCGUAAAACUACGUUCAAUAAAUUAUUGUUUUUCUAAAUGUACCGAUACCGUUACGUCGCGUUCGCGAGGAGCUAUUUUAUACCUUUUGUUUUAUAUCUUCAUACUUUUGAAACGAUAUCGGGGAGGCUACUACUUCGAAAGCGAUCGUUGCAUGUAUGCUUACAUUGUUAUAAAUUGCAUCCCGUUCCAUUCAUUUUUGUCCGAUAGGAAACCCGUAUAUCUUUUCGUAAAAUUUCUCUGUCCAGCGAGGGCGAGGCGAUCCUUCAUAGGAAUGACACUGAAGAUAGAUAGAUCUUCGGACAGAUACAAAUGUUUCUUACGUUUAUAUUUUAAACGUAUCUUUUUUAUAAUAUAAACAUAUAGUUGCUGUAUUAUAUCAAUGAUUAUAUCAGUAGUAUAUCAUUAUUAAUAUCAAUGAUAUCUAUUUUUAUAUUUUAUUUUGACAUUAUUACAUAAAUGUAACACGCUUUUCUAAAAUGAGCAUAUGCGUAAAAUUUGGAAACAUAACGGACGUAAUAGAAACGGAUAUAGCAUAUUGAUUUCUGAACUGGAACUCGCGACUAAACUUAAAUUAUUUUUAAAAUAAUUCGUACACUUUUUUUGGUACGUCGAAUAUAUUUGUCUGAUUUGACAUCUAUUAUUAUCAAUCUAUAAAAUAAAAAUACUUUGCAAAACUUUAUCGAUACUGUUUUUCCUAGAAUUGAAUAAGAAUUGAGAAGUACGGUAGAUGUAAAAGAUAGUAAUAUCCAUAGCAAUGAAUGCGCGCCGCGAAGCUAUUAUUCGGGAAUUAAAACGCCAAGAAUCGUUCAUUUCGGAGUGCCGCCCAUUGUGAGCGGGACCGCAGACUUUUACUUUCCGGCCCUUACGAGGCCGCUUGUUCUCAUCAGCAAACGUGAAUGGCUCGUCCCUUUUUCCCCACUUCGCCACUGCGGUCGCUCGCCUCCGCCAUUGUGCGAAUGUGGAAUCGAUAGAAUCGCGUGUGUACCCGGCAUUAUCUACCUGCCGAUCGCAGGAGAUCCGGCGCCGAGUAGACUGGCCACAUCCUUACUCUCGUAAUUUAGGUGAUCGAUCGCUCGCUGAAAUCCGCGUCUUAUCGCCGUAUUCUUACAGAGAAAUAUUACUGUUGCAAUUGCGCCACGUAACGGGACGUAUAGCCAGAAAUUGAAUUUAAACGGCGUAACAAUCACAAGACUAGCAGUUACUCAAUCGUAAUCGUAACCGAGAGCACAUCUAUCGAAGGGAAAGGAUUUCCGACAACGUGAUAGUUUACUGAACCUUCCAGGAGUCUGCCGCAUUUUAUUGAAUCGCUUAUAGUUUCCACGAAUGAUCCGUAACUUUCUGCGUUACACAAUUUAAUUGAUAAAAGACUGAUCGAGAAAUCCGCGUCUCGUUGGAUACAUGCUUUUCUUUGGGGAAAGUUAAAGGAUAAUAGGCUCGUUACAAGUCGACUUCCGGCGCGGGCUGGUUUGAAGAAGCGUAUUUGGAAUGUAAAGGUGCGCGCGAUGCCGGUGUUCUUUUCCUCAGUCGGUUUCGAGAUUGAUUGUUAGCAUGAACAAACACUUUGAAAGUUUCUUCGCUCGUUCCGCUCCGUCAUUCGCUUCUGCGAGCGGCGCGAUCGCUAACGCGUCGAAAAUUUCUGUAUCCACGAAUAGGACAAAUAAAACUUCCGGCAAAGUUUGAAGGAUCUUCUGCUGCCGGAUUUCCGUCUACAGGUGUAGGGGAUUUCGAAGUGGAAGAUGUGCGCGUAUCUGGAAGAUGAGAGCGGUUAAAAGUUCUAAAAACGGGCUGUGCGAAUUUUGAACGCUGUAGUAAUUAAGAACAGUACGGUAAUUAAUGUCGAUGGAAUAUUAACUGACUGCCGAAUGUAAUAUCAGAAGUACCCUGAAAUUGUGCGGCAAAUUCUAACGUGAUUUUGUGCAUCAGAGCUUUCACGAAUAAAGCUUCGUCUCUGCUCUGAUAUUUUUGGAGCGCGAGCGGGCAAAUGUGGAUAACGAGUGGCUUAUAAAAUUGCUCAUAUCGUCAAAUUAGCGAACUUCGAUGAAAAGCGCUUUAUCAUAAUUCCGCCACCGAAUCCGACUGCAAUGCUGCACGCGCGCAGGGCAAAUCACGUUCAAUCGCGCCCGCGUCCAACGUCGCGCUCAUAGUUUUAACGCGUUUCACGUGCGCCCACCUUUUUUGCGAGCGGCCUAAUAAACCGAAUUGGAUUCACACCUCGGUAUCAACCGGCAGUAUUUACUCACACGUGAAUAUAUAUUUAUGUGCCUUUCUCCCGGCCGGCGGAAUAUUCCAUUAGUCGCGCCGCUCUGCGCAUAUUUCGAAGCAAUUUCGCGAUACACCUAUGUGCGAACCCUAUCUAUGGCCCGCAGUGACUGCUUGCCAUCUCUCUCUCUCUCUCUCUUUCCUCGUCCAUCCUCAACAUUGCUGCUCGCGAAUUUACCGAGUACGAGCGUCGUUGAUGUAGCGCGCGUCAGACCGCUUCGGGAGCUUGCUUAUUCGCUCGCGGGGGUGGAUCAUCAGUUUCUCCACCGCGCGCCGUCGGAAUAUCCAUUAGUUACAGCACCGCUGUUGACGAAGCAUGUUAUUUCCCUUGUGUACGACGUCUGGUCCCACCUCCUACCCUCUGACCCCACGGUAUAUACACCGCCACCUCCUCCCGCACACUCUCGCCUCCGCGCUCGUACGAUCUUCGUUGACCUGUCAGAAAGGGUAUCUUUCCGAGACUGCCGUUCGCAUUUGUUCGUGGUCACAGAUAUAUUGUUCAGACAAAACGUGUUGCACUUUCUGCCGGGAAAGCGAGCAGAGAGGGUUGUAAGGAACGCAGGGAGAGUUUAGUCAGACAGUCGAAGCCGCGGUAACGACGCCCAUUUCUGUUUUUAUAGAUGUACGUACGUCGACUAAAAUUGUAAUGAUUGGAGAACAUUGUGAAAAUGUAAAUCGAUCUUCCCUGAGAAUUAUAAAAUUGAAUUAGUUUUGAUCACGUUCUCACACCGUUAAUUGCGGUUACCAAUAAAUGUUAGCACAACGCGGAAUACCGUCGUGUUUUGCGAUCGGAGCGGAUGCCACGUGAUGGUUGGAUUCGCGUUUCCGAUUAGAUUCUGUAACGAACCAGCGCGAACGAGGUACCUUGUGUUGACUUUUCGGGCGAACUAAUUUCGAAACGUCGUACUCCGGCGAAAUCUCGUUUUCGUGCGGGGCUUUCGAAAUUCUGGUUUACCGAGCGACUUUCGCGCAAGAGAUUGCGGCUCUCUUUCCACCACUUUUCUUUCGUCAAGCCCGCGGCUAAUUCGCGACACUCAGUACCCUCAAAUUUUGUUUCGGUAUUAUUUUUAUGUGCGUGUGUAUGUAUUUUUAUUCACUGGAAUAAUAAAAUAACAGUGAAAAAGGAGUAUUUGCGUGCGACUUUGUAGCUUUAUAUGUAAAAUGCAAACAUUUCUUAGGAAUCAACUUAGUAUAAAAUUUUAAGGAGAGCCGAAAUAAACGAGUGGUGUUAAUCUAAGUUGCUAACUAUAGUAGCAUCUCGCUGAAAAUUUUCAACUAGGGAUUGUUAAGUAUCCAGUAAUUAGCGUUUUUGAGAAUUCCCAUCACUAUUGUAGCCCUGUUAUGUAUGUAAGCCUUGCCAAGCAAACUUCCAAAGAUCCUGCAAGUGUUUACAUAUUCAUUAGUUUGUGUAUGCACACAGAAGCUACGGUACUGCUAGACUCCAGGAAAUAUCAUAAUUACACGUUGUAACGGUCACGUGGCUACGUGAUUUUCCCGUCUUAUCAUGUUUGCAUUGCGCAACGAGAAUUCGCACACGCGAAUUUCCUGGCUUGCCUGCGGCAAGUCUUAUCGAGGUGUGCGAAAUUAUUUAGCACGACUAACCAGUUUAGUUGCUUCAUCGAAUUCACUCCCGCGAGAACUCUCGCGUGUUGUCACGGGACUUCGCGGAACGUAUCGUGCCUUCAAGUGCUCGCCGCUCUUUCUCUGAUUAAUGCACCGCCACCGGGGACCAGCGCGCACUUUUGCACGUCUGUAUGCGAAAACCGACGGUAUUUGAAACCGUCGUCUGCCAACUUCCGUAUUUCUGAAUUUAUACCCGCGCGAGUGAAAUGUUGCACGAGCGAGGCAAGUCAUACCCGUCGUCGAAUAUUUACUGUCUCGAAACGGCUGUUACAACGAGUGUUCGAUAAACACUUCACGUCAGAAAUAGUGUCACGCCGCCAUCGAAGGCGACGUAAAAGAUCGACUAGAAAAAUUGAAGAAACUUUCUACCGCUGAAAUCUCCGAAGCAUUACAUUUACAAAGUAGUCGAUACAAUCGUCGUUGACAUUAACUUCACAUCUCGUUUUAUCGUCGCAAAUUCGAAUGAAACGCAUCGAGAACCGAAAACAACAAGUUGAUUCCAUCAAUGAGACCUUGCUGUUGGAAUGUGAUAUUCGCAAUAUAUUUCGCGUUAAUGUCAGCAAAAUCCGUUUGCAACAUAAUGCUGACAUCCUUCUGCAGAAUCGCCGUUUCUACCCUCGCAGCAGACGGUAGCACGUGCGGCAUUCCGUUUAUCGCCGUCCGCCGCCGUAAUUCGUCGCGUACCAUUCGACAAUCGUCAGCCUUUUCCGGAGAUUGAAUAAACAAUACAUCACCAGGACGGACGCACCAGGGGGAGAUACGAGAACCAAGAGCAAACAGGAACGAAAUGAGUGGGUGGCUGUAGUCGAGAGUUUAUCAUUGCUCGCGGCGGUAAUAUGCGAGAUCUGCCUGCCGAUCGAUUCUUGGAACAAUGAGAAUAAUUCAUCAUAUUUUCAGAGGGACUCCGAGCACAGGACUGUUUUGCAGACAGUCAACGAUUUCUCAAGUUACACUUUGCACUGUUACAGUGGCGCUAUUUGCGCUCCCGCUUCACUCUUCGCUUCCCUUCACGCUGGUUAGCUCGAUAAUUUAAAAGAAAGCUGGCAAAUUAGUUUGUCGAAUGCGAAAGUGUUUCUCUUGCGCCAAACGUUCCCGAACUGGACGACUUACUCUCGCGCUAAUGAUCUGAAUGAACUCGGCGCAACCGUUCCGGUUCUCCACUUUACUGUUCUCGUUAGCUCGAGCAAAGUCAUGUAACGACGAGACAGCCGCGACUCCUCGCAGCGGAUGAGCAUCACGAGCGUAUAUCGGAGGUGACGUGUCCGACGAAAAUCCCGACAGUGUUAAUUUUCCAGUGGACGGUUCCCGACCGACCCCGGGGUGCAGGGAUCUGCGAGGAACAGAGAGAAAACGUAACGUGGGACUGGUGGCCACUGAUCCCGCGUCUGCCGACACGGAACUCGCCCUCUCUCUCAGUUGUCCCCCUGAUCCGCGAGCCCCACCGCGCUCGGAAGUCCCUCGGAUGUGUGCAGAAUUAUUGUUGAUUAAAGGCAUUGUCGAACGGCUCGUUGAAAGGCCGCGUCGCGGACGCAGUCGGUGAAAUUGCAUUUGGCGGUUUGGUUCCGCGGAACUGCAGCGCGCGGAAGGGGAGCCUCAAUGGUGCCGGGGAGCAGUCGCGCUCGCUUUUGUGCAGGUCGUGACAUGGUCCGCCUCGACCACCCCGCCCUGUCACGAACCGGUGGACCCGCUGAUAGCAGCAAGACGAACCUUACCGGUGCACCUUGCGCGGAUAACCGAAUUUCAAUUUCACGGAUGGGGUGAGCCCGCCGCUUCGCAGGGGUAGUCCCCGACGUCUCCAAAGCGUCUCCAAGGCGUGUGUGCCACGUGGGAACACGUCGACCAUCAUACCAUGUGCUGACAUCGAAAUUAUUUAUAGUUGGUUAACUCAGAUUGCGUAAAUCUUGAUUGAACAUGUGAUCAUGUGCUGCUCUGGCAGUUACCAAUAAAAAUCGUAAAGUUAUAUUGCAAUUAUACAAGUUGAAUAUUUCAACAAAUUCUUCUUUUUUUAGCACAAAGAGGACUUUAGCGAUAUGGCGCGUUCUCUCUCUGCUGGAGACUUGGCGCGGGAUUUGCUUAGUAGGGGAUUUCUUACUUGCUUCUUACUGGCCGCUCGUAUACGGCCGACGACGAUGUAAACAGCGCGUGUGCAUUACGUGAAAGGUGGACAUGAAGCCGGGUGUGAAUUCUCUAGUCCGGCAGAAACGAAGUUCACGUAUACAGAGCUCGUAAAGCGCUCCCCUUCCGAGAAUGAGUCCCCAUGGUUACCUGCGCAAAGCUAUGACUCAUGGUUUGGAGGUCGUUCUAUCUCCCCUAGUUUGAGUAAGUCUGUUAUCAGCAGAAACAGCCACUGGGAGACCUAGAACGAUUGCUAGCGCGAUGGCGGAGAGCAAGUUAUUUGCCGAACUCUCCGGCAACCGUAUCCCGAAGAAGAAGUGCACUUUGCGAGCGGUACGUGUGUACACUCUUCUUCCCCUUUGACAUUUACUCCGCUCUGACUUUCAUCCAUAAGCGCGUUUCGCGUGCGCCAUCAAUGACAGAGUCGUUUACCGUUCCGCGUACGGCUUAUCUUAAGUAUUGAGUUUCCUCGAGAUUCUGAUAUUCGGAAUCGCGUGCAUGCGAACGCAGCGAAACCUCGAUCUCGUACAGAUACUUGAAACCUCUCUCUACUAAACUAGAGACGCUCGUGGGGAACAACGGGGAGUCUAAUCGCGCGCGAGUUUUAUACGCCAAGUAUCCGACUCGUUGAAAUAAAUAAAA